GGCUCCGUGGUCUAGUUGUCAUGAUUCCUGCUUUGGGUCACAGCGUCACAGCAGUGCUUAAUAGCAGGAGGUCCCGCGUUCAAAUCGCGGCGGAGCCC